CUCUCCUUCAUCCCACACCCUAAAUCUACAGAAACCACUUUAACCAGCCGAGCCCUAGAUCUGUAGAAACCCCUUCAACUAGCUGAUCCUUAGAUUUGCAGAAAGCCCUUCGACCAACCAAAAUGCACUCCCAAAACUUGCUCUCUCAAAAGCAUUUCUAGGGGAGGUUACUUCCCCAACGUAAUCCGAUAUUAUCAAAGAUCCCUCUCUGAGGUGUGUUCUUUUAUGCAAAAUCCGAAUAUUCCAAUUCAAAAUUCACAGAUGGUUGAGAGGUGUACUGGAAAUCCAUAGAAACAGAGAUCAAAUCCCUACUAGAGAAGCUCUUGGACGUCAAGGAUGCAAUGUCCGCUCCUGCAAUCCCCACAACCUCCAUCACCCAGAAGCUUACACGUCACAGAGAGAUCCUUUGCAAAUUCACUUAAUGAUGCAAUAUGCAGGGAAUAUUUGAAUUUGGAGGUCUCCUCUUAAGGGUGGAUUCUUGAAGACUAGGUGUUGUUUUGGCUUGAGUUCGUGUUCUAUUUGAAAGCUUUCAAUUUCUAUUUUGGUUGUUGGAUUUGUGGAAAAAUGGCUUGUAUGAAGCUAGGAUCGAAAUUUGAUGCAUUCCAACGACAAGGGCAGGCAUGGCGGGUUGCAUCGGGCGACAUGGUUGAGAAGACUGUUGAGAGGAGGCUGAAGAGGAUGAUCAAGAACAGGGAGUCUGCUGCUCGAUCAAGGGCCAGGAAGCAGGCGUACAUGAACAAGCUGGAGAACAAGGUUUCACGUCUGGAAGAAGAGAAUGAAAGGCUCAAGAAGUAAAAGGUGUUUGCGUAUGAUGAGAAGGAUGUUAACUAUAGAUAGACAAGUGUGACUUGCAUCCUAAAAUGGGCCACGUAUAAUCAGAAUCCUUCCUGUCCUUAGUGCAAGCAUCUGUUUCAGUUUCUCAGUGUUCAUCGAUCACCAGAUGGAAGUAUUCAUGAUUACAUGUUCGAGGAGAGUGUUUGUCUGCUCAUUAGAGCCACUUGGUUUGUGUCUUUACCAUUGGAGGCUCAGGAAGAAUCCUCAUAUGAACAAGAAGCUAUCUAUCAGUAUGAGGAUGAGGAGGAUGAUGAUCUGGAUGAUGAAGCUUUCUUUGACAGCUCCUCAAGCCUUCAUAUCGGUAACUGUAGGUGUUUUAUACCUCUUUAGUAUGUGGAUGACGAUCUGGAUGAAUUUUGCCCCUUUUUUUAGCAAUUAAUUAAUUGAAUGAAGGAUUGUAAUUGAUUCAUUAUUGAAUGAAUGAUUGUAAUUGAAUGAAUGAAUGAUUACGCAGGUGGUAAUUGAAUGAA